rnacentral:tRNA from 1 species
CGCGGGGUGGAGCAGUUUGGUAGCUCGUCGGGCUCAUAACCCGAAGGUCGAGGGUUCAAAUCCCUCCCCCGCUA